GGAAUAAAAGUCGUAACAAGGUCUCCGUUGGUGAACCAGCGGAGGGAUCAUUACCGAGUUUUUCUACCCCCAAACCCCUGUGAACUUAUACCUUUACUGUUGCUUCGGCGGGUUAACGCCCCGGAAGGCCCAAAAAGCCGCCGGAACCAGGCGCCCGCCGGGGGACCCAAACUCUUGUAUUUCUUACUUUGCAUGUCUGAGUGGAAUCAUAAACAAAUGUAUCGAAACUUUCAACAACGGAUCUCUUGGUUCUG
rnacentral:misc_RNA from 1 species